rnacentral:lncRNA from 1 species
GUUGGUCUGACCCCAAGAACUGUACAGCAGCAGCAGCAGUUCAGCUGGCAGAGUGGUCUCAGGUGCUGUUGCUGAGCUGGGAGUGGAAAGCAUAUUUUCUCUUCAUGACACAGGGUGUAACUGCUCGUGGGAAGUCGGGAGACAACACGGACCCCCCUGGUUUACCUGUGUAGUCCCAGGGCGUCUCAGGUGCCAGGAGCCGCUGCCACGAGCGCCUCGUCUCCUGUCAGAUGUGGUUGGCGAGAGACGAGGACAGCAUGACCACUGGGCACCACACAGUACAGAGGUCAGCGUGCAAGGACAGCGGGACGGCAGUGAUGUGGCCACGACUACUUGUCAAGUCUCAGUUUAUUUAUCCAUCAAACAGAGGCUUGGACUGGAUUAAUCCCUGAGGUCCACCCAGGUGCCCGAGCAGGAUGUUCUCCUAAAAUGAAACUUCAGGACAUGACUGGGGCAUCUCCUGAGGACAUGCAGGGUGAAACGAGCAUUCGGGGAUGCCUCGAUUGCCUGUGGUGUUGCAAAACCACACCAGUGUCAUAGUUCUUCAUCGGCACUGGACUGCCAGAGACUAA